GGGUCGUGUGUGGGUCUUGGUGGUAUCACUCCUGUUCGAAUCUGCAGAAGUGCUAUGUGAACCUGUACUGCGGAUGCCGUCCUUCCUUUGCAUUCCGCCAUAUGUUGCCGUACAGGGACGAUGUGCUCUGCCCACUUCACCGCAGCCCAGCCUCUAUCCAUAUUUAACUGACGUGCCAACAAAUAUGCCUAAAGAGACAACGCAGACAUUCCAGAUGACGAUUAUUACCACAGCCUCAUCGGCAAACACUAUUCCUACCGCAAAGAAUACGCAAGCGACAUCAUACACCGACACCAUGCCGGAUGUUUUCAGGACAAUUGUUCCGGAGGAGAUAAACCUACCAACUAUACCAACAAAUUAUCUUCCUCAAACAAACAUUCCUCAACCAGUUAUUCCACAUGUUUCUAGACCAGGUAUUCCUGAAAAAGAAAUCCCAAGUAGACCAUCAAUAGUCGCUCCUAAAAAAAAUAUUCCUCAACUAGUGGCUCCAAAUAUUUCUAUGCCAGUGAAUCAUUUCAUAAAGUAUCCAAAUUUACCAAAUUUUUUUCUUCCCAAUAUUUCUAUGCCAGUUAUUCCUUAUAUAAACUUCCCAAAAAUCCCAAAAAUCACCCUCCCUAGAAGCCCGCCGCGCUUCCCAAAUAAUUAUCUAUUUCCUAGUACAUUUUUCCCCUAGUAUUCCCUAGUAGCCUUCCAUGGAAGUUCUCUAUUUUGCAUGGUAUGAAAUACAAUAUUUGUUGCUGCGCGGGUAAUCCUCGUCCGUAGUCCUUA